CCUGCUUUUCAAUUAGGUCAUCAAUUAUGUCGCAGUCCGCUGUGAGCCGUAAUCAAACUGCAGAUCCGCCUCAGCUGUUGCAGGAGGCCCGGCCCGACCCGGCCCCUCCGCCGCCGGGGAGCCAAUGUGAAUGAAGCAGCUGUUCUCAGAGGACAGUAAGGUCCCAGAGCACUGUUCGAAGCUAGAGAGGUGGCAGGGUCCGCCACAAAUAAACAAGACAAAAAUGACAGUGGUCUGUAACGCCGACCAGAGGGGAGGAGCCUAACAGUGUGUGUCCAGGGCGUGAAGGUCUGCAGAGACGUGACCUGAUGACUGCAGACAACAGCAAGAGCUGAUGUAACGGUGCCGUGGGUGGAGAAGUGGCUGUGUUCUGAGGCUCGGCCCUGGACGUGAGCCCAGCCCACAGUGUGUUUCCUCACAACAAGGCAGCGCAGCUCUCAGAGGCCAGACAGUUUCCUGACUUUGUAUAGGAACACAAUCAGGCCCACGGGGCGAGGAGGGGGAGGCCGAGGAGGACGGACGUGUUCCCGGUCUACUCCUUCACUGAUGUGGUCUAAAAAUAGUGAAGCUGGACUGUUUUCACUGUGUGUCUGCACACACUGAACCCAACGGGACAUAUACUGUAUAUAUACAGAGAGACUCACAUUCAUUCCUUUAAAAAAAACCCUGAUUGUACAUUUACACAGUCACCAGAAUUCUGUACAUGAAAUGAAACGAGAGAUGAAACUGAAGUUGAUCAGAUGAAUCCAUAGCCUAUUACUGUUUAAUAAAUAUGAGUCAUUUUGGUCAUAAAAAAAGCUUCUCAAAAGAACAUUAACCUGCUUUUCUUUGGGAUUUGGACUAACUGGAGUAAUCAAUUAACUGAAGGAAUAAUCAGCAUUUUUAUAUGGAAUUAUGUGAAAUACCAACUGAAACCAGUUUUGGCAUUAUACACAGCUGUAAAUAAUUUCAUGAGGCAACAGCUUCUUGAAUUCUGGACAUUAUGAACAGACUUUAAUAGAAACAACCAGCCGGCGUGCUGCUGCUGUUCAACCGCCUAUACCUCAUGAUUUUGAGUCAGGCCAUCGCAAUAUCACUAUACUCACUUUAACCCUGAUUUUAAAAAAAUAGAUGUUGAUAUCUUGUUAAAUAAUACACACAGGAUAUAUUCAUUCAGAGUUCAUCUGCCUUCACAGCCUUUUUAUUAGUCAUAGUACAUUUAAGCAGUUGUUUCUGUCUUAUCUGUUUUUACAGUCAGUUUCAGACUCUCUGCUCUGACAUGCAUUCAUAUUUUGAGGGUUUAUUUAAAAUGUAUUUGCAGAAAAAAAGACAAACACACAGUAAACAAAGGUAAAGACAGGUUGGACUGUGACUUCUUUUUUUUUUUUCAAAUUCCUACAGAUGUUGUUUAUCAGGUACAGACUGGAAUAAAGGACGAUAAAGUUCAGACUGCAGCUGAAUUGAGAGGAAGGUACACAUCGACAAAAUGCGUACAUUUCCCCAUCACAAGAUCAAUAAAGAUUCACCUGAUUAUCUUUUACUCACAAAGCAGAUCACAGUCGAUGGGCAGCAAUCUGCCUUCAGUCUGAAGCCGUGCCAUGCUUGAGUUUUGCGGGCCUAUAUUAUGCUCUGUUUGUCAUUUUACUCCUGCCUAUGAAAUAUUGACUGUGCUGCUGAGUGUUCAUUAACGUAUUCAGCACAUACAGCCACUUCAGUCUGUGCAGCAGGACUUAAUGCACAGCAGGCCUCCGUCUUCAUACUCAACAGUCAUGUUCGUACUGUGAUCAUAAAGAUGCGGCUCUCUGCUUUGUAGGGACGGGAUGUAAUUCAGUACUGUCUAUUGAUUUCUGAAGGAUUUAGCCUUAUCAAGUUAUCCACAUUUCUGUGUGUGAGGGUUUGUUUUUGUGCUUUAAUUCAUAAAGAAUAAAACACAGUGAAACAGUU